UACGUAGGUGGCAAGCGUUGUCCGGAUUUAUUGGGCGUAAAGAGCGUGUAGGCGGCCAGGUAGGUCCGUUGUGAAAACUCGAGGCUCAACCUCGAGACGCCGAUGGAAACCAUCUGGCUAGAGUCCGGAAGAGGAGAGUGGAAUUCCUGGUGUAGCGGUGAAAUGCGCAGAUAUCAGGAAGAACACCAAUGGCGAAGGCAGCUCUCUGGGACGGUACUGACGCUGAGACGCGAAAGCGUGGGGAGCGAACAGG
rnacentral:rRNA from 1 species